AGUGAACGCUGGCGGUAGGCCUAACACAUGCAAGUCGAACGGCAGCACAGUAAGAGCUUGCUCUUACGGGUGGCGAGUGGCGGACGGGUGAGGAAUACAUCGGAAUCUACUUUUUCGUGGGGGUUAACGUAGGGAAACUUACGCUCAUACCGCAUACGACCUACGGGUGAAAGCAGUGGAUCUUCGGACCUUGCGCGAUUGAAUGAGCCGAUGUGGGAUUAGCUAGUUGGCGGGGUAAAGGCCCACCAAGGCGACGAUCCGUAGCUGGUCUGAGAGGAUGAUCAGCCACACUGGAACUGAGACACGGUCCAGACUCCUACGGGAGGCAGCAGUGGGGAAUAUUGGACAAUGGGCGCAAGCCUGAUCCAGCCAUACCGCGUGGGUGAAGAAGGCCUUCGGGUUGUAAAGCCCUUUUGUUGGGAGAGAAAAGCAGCAGGUUAAUACCCCGCUGUUCUGACGGUACCCAAAGAAUAAGCACCGGCUAACUUCGUG
rnacentral:rRNA from 1 species